rnacentral:rRNA from 1 species
GACGAACGCUGGCGGCGUGCCUAAUACAUGCAAGUAGAACGCUGAAGGAGGAGCUUGCUUCUCUGGAUGAGUUGCGAACGGGUGAGUAACGCGUAGGUAACCUGCCUGGUAGCGGGGGAUAACUAUUGGAAACGAUAGCUAAUACCGCAUAAUAGUAGAUGUUGCAUGACAUUUGCUUAAAAGGUGCAAUUGCAUCACUACCAGAUGGACCUGCGUUGUAUUAGCUAGUUGGUGGGGUAACGGCUCACCAAGGCGACGAUACAUAGCCGACCUGAGAGGGUGAUCGGCCACACUGGGACUGGGACACGGCCCAGACUCCUACGGGAGGCAGCAGUAGGGAAUCUUCGGCAAUGGACGGAAGUCUGACCGAGCAACGCCGCGUGAGUGAAGAAGGGUUUCGGAUCGUAAAGCUCUGUUGUAAGAGAAGAACGAGUGUGAGAGUGGAAAGUUCACACUGUGACGGUAUCUUACCAGAAAGGGACGGCUAACUACGUG